UGAGGGAUAUUGGGCAAUGGGGGAAACCCUGACCCAGCGACGCCGCGUGAGGGAAGACGGUCUUCGGGUUGUAAACCUCUGUCUUUGGGGACGAAAAAGGACGGUACCCAAGGAGGAAGCUCCGGCUAACUACGUGCCAGCAGCCGCGGUAAUACGUAGGGAGCGAGCGUUGUCCGGAAUUACUGGGUGUAAAGGGAGCGUAGGCGGGAAGGCAAGUUGGAUGUGAAAACUGUGGGCUCAACCGACAGACUGCAUUCAAAACUGUUUUUCUUGAGUGAAGUAGAGGCAAGCGGAAUUCCUAGUGUAGCGGUGAAAUGCGUAGAUAUUAGGAGGAACACCAGUGGCGAAGGCGGCUUGCUGGGCUUUUACUGACGCUGAGGCUCGAAAGUGUGGGGAGCAAACAGGAUUAGAUACCC
rnacentral:rRNA from 1 species